AUUGAACGCUGGCGGCAGGCUUAACACAUGCAAGUCGAACGAGUGGCGGACGGGUGAGUAAUGCUUGGGAAUCUGGCUUAUGGAGGGGGAUAACGACGGGAAACUGUCGCUAAUACCGCGUACAAUAGGAUGAGCCCAAGGGGGAUUAGGUAGUUGGUGGGGUAAAUGCCUACCAAGCCUGCGAUCUCUAGCUGGUCGGAGAGGAUGAUCAGCCACACGGGGACUGAGACACGGCCCAGACUCCUACGGGAGGCAGCAGUGGGGAAUAUUGCCCAAUGGGCGCAAGCCUGAUGCAGCCAUGCCGCGUGUAUGAAGAAGGCCUUAGGGUUGUAAAGUACUUUCAGCGGGGAGGCGUUACCCGCAGAAGAAGCACCGGCUAACUCCGUGCCAGCAGCCGCGGUAAUUC
rnacentral:rRNA from 1 species